GACGAACGCUGGCGGCGUGCUUAACACAUGCAAGUCGAACGGAAAGGCCCUGCUUUUGUGGGGUGCUCGAGUGGCGAACGGGUGAGUAACACGUGAGUAACCUGCCCUUGACUUUGGGAUAACUUCAGGAAACUGGGGCUAAUACCGGAUAGGAGCUCCUGCUGCAUGGUGGGGGUUGAAAAGUUUCGGCGGUUGGGGAUGGACUCGCGGCUUAUCAGCUUGUUGGUGGGGUAGUGGCUUACCAAGGCUUUGACGGGUAGCCGGCCUGAGAGGGUGACCGGCCACAUUGGGACUGAGAUACGGCCCAGACUCCUACGGGAGGCAGCAGUGGGGAAUAUUGCACAAUGGGCGGAAGCCUGAUGCAGCAACGCCGCGUGCGGGAUGACGGCCUUCGGGUUGUAAACCGCUUUCGCCUGUGACGAAGCGUGAGUGACGGUAAUGGGUAAAGAAGCACCGGCUAACUACGU
rnacentral:rRNA from 1 species